rnacentral:piRNA from 1 species
UAUGUCUAUCUGGGGACUAGUGUCUA